GGGGGAACAGGGUUUCUCUAAAAAUACUUCAUGUGUCAUCAAAGGUGAAGACAAUGUUAAUAAACUAUUAAAUACUGCAGGAAAUAAAGUAAUUGAACCAUGCAUUUAGAAAAGCCAUGUUUGUUUCUUUGUUUGUUUUUUCUGGCACCAGGAAUAAAACCCAGGACCUUGUGCUUGCCAUGCAGGUGUGGUGCCACUGAGUUACAUCCCGGGCCCUGAAAAACCAUGGAUUCAAUCAACGUGGCUAAUUUCCAGGACAAGACAGCACUUGCUAUGAACGGCGGAGUAAAGGCCAAAAUAAUUGUUGUAAGGAAAUCAUAUGGGUCUUUCACAGCCCAUCACACAACAUAUUCCACCCGAGUUUAUGUCAGACAUUUCUGUAGCAGUCUUAGGUAAACUUAUGUUUGAGCAGUGAUCUCUAACUUUGUCCUGGGAUUAUCAGUGCGCCACUUAACUUUAAAUGACCCCUUCCCUAGUUCUUAUCAUCUUCCCUAGUUCUAGUGCACAUUUGUGAGAAGUUUAAAUUCACCACAUGGGAAACAGGCAGGUCAGGAUCUAUGUUUUUCCAACUUUUUUUCUUUAUAGCUAUUCACAAAAUCUCCAAAUUUGUUUUGUAAGCCACUAAUUAAGGG
rnacentral:lncRNA from 1 species